GUUUUGAAAAUAUAUAUGAGGAGGUCCAACAAAUUUUUCUCUCCUAGUCAAAAACCCAAUUUCUGAUCUUAAUUAGUGAGACCCCCCUGAACAAUUUAAAAUACCUAUUUUACCCUUUUAAUUUAAAUUAAUAUAUACCCUAACCCUAACAUUCUCUUCGAUCAAACCCACAACCGCCGUUACAUCACUCUCUUACUAUCUCUCUUCAUCUCUCCUCUCUAUCUCUCGUUCACUCUUUUUUUUCUUCGAAAUUAACCACCACCAGAUCUGAAAAUAACAUGAGAGACGGAGCGGUGAGAGCAGCGGCGUUCCAGGAAUCACGGUGGGGAACGGCGGUCUGCGUGGCUUCACAUCGUCGGAGCACCACCCGUUCUUCUCCGCCACCCGAUUGACAAUUUCUUCCCGUGGUGCAUCGGUGGAAGACGUGAAGCGACGGCGGCGCGGCGGCAGCCCAGAAGAAGCCGAAGAUCGGCAAGAAGAUAACGUCGGCAAGGAGAAUCGCCGAAAGGAGAUCGACGACGAUUACGAGGAGAACGAGAUCCAUAGUCCGUUGCACGAGAUCGCGUUCCAGGUAGACAACUCCCCCUGGUGAUAAUCUGGCGUCUUGGUGUUUGAACUACAAUGUAGUAAGUUUUUUCACAGAUCUUGGUGUUUGAACUACUAUGUAGUAAGUUUUUGCGGAGUGGAUUGUGUUCGUUGUUCAAAACAAGCGGUUCUCGUGUUGACAAGUGCGAGCGAUUUGAGUCAAAUUUAGUCGUAUAGAUAACUGUAGUCGUGUAUAGUUCCAUGUAGUUAUAUAUAUUUAUAUACAAGGUAUGUGGUUUUUCUAAUGUAUAAUUAUCUUGAUGAUUGCGUUUUUUUUUUUUUCA